GUUCAGGCCAGGUGAGGAAGGUAGAGCCCAGCAGGGGAAGGGGGGAAGUCUGUCCUGAGGGAGGGCUUCCAGUUCUAGGGCUCACCUCUUAGCCCGGCCAUCCCCGCCCUCCCUGCAUUCCACACUGAACCAGGGUGGACUUGACCUCCAGUUACCGCGGCCUCAGUGUUCCCCGGGACAGGGGGCCCCUGCUCACUCCAGCUUCUUUCUUUAGAUUAGGCUCUUGUCCUGUCACAAAGAGGCAAUGUAGCCACUGCCUCCCUAUGCAAAAAAUUAACCAGAUGAUGCAGAUCAAAUAGCAUAGGCAAUGGACACUUGACCUUGGCCAAAACGCUCCCAGCUAGCAUAGCACCCAGAGCUGAGGUCCAGCACCACGGACCUGAGGAGGAACUUGAGCUUUCUUUGGGAUGUUUCAAGUCCUGAUCACUUCCUCAGAGAUGGCCCUGGCUCUGAGACCACUUUGGCUGGGUGUGGGAGGUCCUAUGUCCCUAACCUCUGGCUCCUUCUCUGAAUCUUAGAUAACCGUGGGCAAGCCCCUUUCUUCCUCUGUGCCUCAGUUUCCUUCUCCUUCCAGUGGGGAGAAACAACAGUGUAUCCCCUUUCCACUCCCUCUACCUCACCUAGAUGUCCUGAGGAUUAAUAUCUCUGUCCACCAUCUUCUGCAUUCUCUGUUCUCUCCUGGGAACUUCUUAGGGUUUGGGGUCGGGGGUGCCAGAAGAGACAGAUCUGGAAGCUCCAAGUGACCUCCCAGUGGUCUUUGUGUAUCAUCCCACAAUUUUUCUGACCCGCCCCCCCCAAAGGAACAGAGAGAUAGGAGGAUAGAAGACUAGAGAUGGGGAAAUCCAUCAAAUUCCAACCCAAACCCAACUCUCUAUCCAUAUGUGGAAAACACCAGAUCCAUUGGAAUUCUGUGACUUUCCUCUGCCCCUCCUCCUCCUCCUUCCCCGCCCCUCCCCCAUUCUCCUCAUUUGCACUGCUUUCAAAGCCUCCCUCACCUCAACCCCCAGCCCACUCUCAAUGCCCUCAUAUUAAAAAAACUAAGGGACAGGACACUCGUCACAUAAAUGAAGAAAUUCCAUGCAGUUAAGGAUAUUUGAAUCUAUGUUGCUGCUGUCAGGGGUAACUGGACCAGUGGGUGACAAUGACAGGGAGACUGAUUUUAGCUUGAGGUAGAACCUUCUAACACCAUUGCACCAUCUGGAGCAAAGGCUACUCUGGACACCCCGGGACAGGGUUGGGGAAGCAGCUCCCUAGGGAUGUCACUCCAGAAUCUUAUCCAGACAAAGGUCUCUCCCAGCACCAAUCUUCUGGUGUCCCAUACAAUCUCUGUUGAGUGCCUACCGGUGCAGGUGCUGGGAAAGAUGAGAGCUAAGAAGACAACGUCCCUGCCUGAAGGAGCUUACAGUCGAAGACCAGACAGGACACGUCCAAUAGUGCAAGAAACAGUGAAGAGUUCAAGAUUCAGGGUCAGCAGUGAUGGGCAUUGGGUCAUCCGGGGCAGUGAUUGCAGUGUGUGAAGUGUCUCCAGGACAAGGCUGGACAUCCCACUGGUGGGGAAGGACACUGGAGAUACUGCUUACUCAUAGCCACAGGGAGUUGGGAAUUUUCUCCCCUCCUCCCCAAUGCCUGGGUCAAAACCAAGAAUUCAUCAGAAGGCGGCUCUGGAAUGGAGAUCACCAGGGUGGACUGGGUAGGGUAGGCGAGUCCUCUCCUGGGUCAGUCUUUUCUUCUUUCCCUGAGGCUGGUCUGGAAGGCUAGCAGGGGAAGAGAAUCUGUGGGGGAACUGGGGUUGAAGUAGAGCUCAUAUUCCAGGUUCUAGUCCUGGCUCCUCACUGAUAAACUGGUUGAUGCUGGAACCCUCCUCCUGUGUUUCUCUGCACCUGUUUCCCCAGUUAUGACACAGGAGAGUUGGAGUGGAUGCUUGCUAGAAUUUCUCCCAACACUCACAUUCUAUGAUCCCCCAACAUCAACACAUCAUUCAAGUCAGAGCUGUGUGCUGACCGGGCCAUUGAAAAGGACUUCUGCGGGCAUGAACAUUCAUUUCAGAGGCUGAGGGUACACACGUUGAGUAAGAGACUGGGACCUGGUCCCCUCCUCCCUCCUAUUCUCUGCAGGCUCUCCAAGUGCCCCAGGCUACAGGGACUGGGCUGGGGAGGGAGUAGAUCCUGAAGCUCCCUCCCCUCCCCAUCUCUCUGGGAUCCUUGUAUCCUGCAGGUAGGGACAGGAGAGAGGGGACAGUCACUCUGAGCCCUCCUGGCUCCUGUUUCCUUAGCAGAGAAGCCAAUUGGGUGAUAAGAGCAGGUGCCAGCUUCUGCUCCCUCGAGCCCCCCCAACCCCAGCUGGCCCGGGAGCCUGGGAAGAGCGGAGAGGAGGCAGGUUCAGGCCUCAGCAUCUCACACCCACCACCUCCAGGAGGGAGACACCUAUAGUCCUCCUGCUCAACUCAAGGGACUCAGACCCUUUCCUGACUGAGACGCAUGAGUGCCUUCUGGGGCAAGAGCAGCCCCAGGGUUCAAGUUGGGCCUCCAAACCGCAGCCAUGGCUGCAGCGGGUCCACCGAGGACACUAAUCAAUCAACCCAACGCCACGAGCCACUGGGCGCAGCAGAGGGUGGGCAGGGGCCACAGUGUCCUCCACCCAGCCAGGACCCCCGGCCCUGUCGCCCUCGCCCACCACCUGUGGCGGGACUCAGGCUCUCUUCUGCAAAGGCUCUCAGCCUCCGAGCAAGUAUUCUUAACUCUUUACGCCUAACGAACAAGCACAGUUUUUUCAAUGGUGAAGAAAAAGCACCAGAUUUUUUUUUCCCCCUGAAGAAAUCCCCAAGCCCCCCGCCCGCUGGCGGGACCAACACUCCCCGUGUGGGGCUGUAGCAACGUCUGUCAGGUCCCCUCGUGUUUCAUCUCCUGCGCGCGUAGAGCAAAUGCUAGAGCGAUUUCAGCUGAUAGAAAAACAAAAAUGAAAAAAAACAAAAAAAAAACAUGGCACGUUGCUAGUUUACAGGGUUUUGUGAGUUUAAAUGCCUUAUAUUUAACAAUCAUAAUUUAUGACUAACUUGUAGAUAUCGUGGGUUCUUAUUUAAUUAUUUUUAUAGUUGUUUUGCAUUUUUAAUUAUAAUUUAUUUAUUUAGAAAGGAUACUAAUUUUUUUUAUUACUCCUAUUACCUCAUUUCGGCGUUGUUUUUGGGAGUGGAAUGCUUUGCAUGCAUUGGUACGAUGACAAACAACUACGAAUACAAAAAAAAAAAAUUAAAUAAAAUUCCGCGAACUUUAUUUCGUCCAAACUAUCAGGGUGUGUGAUUGCAAGCUGUCCUACUGUGGUGCUGGCCUCUUUGGAUACAUUCCAUACGAAAUGCAAACCUUUGAUUCUGUAUGCUGUGACUUAGUGAAAAACUCCAAUAUAGUGACUGUAUUUAGCACAUAUAUAAAUAUAAUUUGCACUCGUCAGCAGACUGGGGUAAUCCUUUCACUUGCUACCCUUGGCACCCUCGCCCCGACCCCUCCACCCCUGCAAUUAACCUGCUUUUCUUUCUUCCUUCCUGCUUCUUACAGCCUCAGUCCACCCAGGCUUCAUCCCCUGAAGGAGGUCUCUGGGCUCUAGAAGUCACUGUCUCCACUUGGGCUCCACCUUUCUAAGGUUCCAGAAUUGGAGCCCUUGGUACAUUGCCAGCAGGAGUGUAAGAAAAUUGAAAGUCUGACUCAUUACACGAGCCUGGAUAGCGGGGCCAAGAGGCUUGGGUUUUCGGAUCAGCUCCAUUGUGGUCUUCCCUUGACUGUGAGCCAGUCCUUGACCCCCCGAGUCAGUUUUUCUGUGCUAGGGAAGGGAGGCGAAAGGAGUGGGAAUCUCUAGGAUGCCUCUGAUUCAGAUAGAAUAUGACACAGAUCUGGGGAUGGGGGACCUAUCUCGCCCUCUCAGGAAAAAAAGGAAAAGAGAAAGACGGAGGGAAGGAGAGGAAAGAAAAGGAGAAGAGAGGGAACGGAUGGAGGAUUUAGCCCGUAGAUUUGCCCAGAACAGAGGUCCACAAAGGUUUCUGUCCUUUUAAGUGCAACAUCCGGAGGGCGACAGGGAGGUAAAUUAGGUGGACACAUUCCUGGAUAUGGGACAUGGCCUUUCACGAGUUUGGCAGGUCAUUGGGAGAGUAAGCUAAAGUCCAUGCCCUGUUAGGUUUAGGGAUGUGAUAGGUAGAAGUCCCAGACUCUGGUGUUGGGGGUUGGCACUCCUGUCCUGUCAUCUCUAGGAGCCUUUGUGACUGGGACAUCACCCACCAAUAACUGCCUGGGACACAGUUUGGACUGUGGUCUCUCCUCUCAGUAUCUCCCCUGGGCCUGCCCCUGGACCAUGGGUGUGGGCAGGAGGCUGCUAGGGAGGAUAAGGGGUGGGACUCCAGUGUCACUGCCCCAGAGAGAAGUGAUAGGAGGGAGGCCUGGGGAAACAAUGGCAUCAACAGCUGGCACAGUGCUGAGCCCAGGUGUCUUUGAGCCAAAAGGGGAGAGGAGGUCCAGGCCUCUGGGAGCAGCCUUUGAGUGGGCUGGCACCUGCCCCAUGCCCUUCCUCUCUCCUCCUCCUCCUCUUCCUUUCCAGCUUGCCUUCCCUCUUGGCUCUUGCCAUCACUGCCUUUGCCUGGUGGGGACUCCCCUCCACAAGAGGCCCCAUGGGGAUGGAUGGUGCUGACUUGGGGGAGGAAGUGGACACCUAGAGUUGCCACCCUGUCUGGUUAGGCUUGCCCAAGUGGCCAGAUGGGGCAUGGCCGCUAAACCCAUCUUUGCUCUGGUCUGGGGACGGGAACCCUUCUUGGGGCUUCUUGCCUGCUGCCGCCCAGCUUGCCCUCGGCCUCCACCCUGGAGCCUUGCUUUGCUUGGACACAGCCUGUGGAAUCCCCCAUCACGCUGGUGGGUGUACGACCACCAUGCUGUCGGGCCUGGCAGACACUGCCCUGGCAGGGCUCCCGGAUGGGCAUGCCUUACGCUGCUCUUCGGGGACCGAGUGAAUAGGGCCUUGUGCCCUGGCUGGCCUGUGCCCCAAUCUCAAGCCUCCCCUACCACCCCCACCCCGCUUCCACCCCUGGCAAUGGAUGUGGCUAAUUUCUCAGCUCUGGAGCCGGCCACACCAGGGGGUGAUUUGGUUGCCCCUGGUAAGUGAAAGGAUUAUCCUCAGUGUUGAUUGUCCUUUUUUGUAAUCCUCCUGCUGUUCUGUUCUGUUGUGCUGUGCAACAUUUUGCUACAUAGACUAUUUUAUAGCAGAAAGCUAGAAGAAUAUUUAUUAUGAAUAUUAAAGCAAUAGUGCAUCAAUGAAAAGGCGAAGACAUUAGGAAUUGUGUAAAUGCUUAGAUUCACUUUUGGUGGAUUUUUUGUACUUUAUUUAUAACUAAUAAAAAUGAACUGCAUUGCUAACUACACCUUACUCGUGCGGGCUCU
rnacentral:lncRNA from 1 species